GUCACCCGCGGUCACGCCCCUGCCGCGGCUCUGCCGGGUGUCGCCGUCGUUUCUCCGCGUUCGGCACUCGCGGUCAUCCCCCUGCCGCAGCUCCGCCGGAUCUUAUCUCUGUUUCCUUCCGUUCCCGUCGCUCGCGGUCAUCCCCCGGCCGCAGCUCCUCCCCUAACCCGCCCCGGGCCGCCCCUGGUGACGGGCUAACCUCCGCCCGCCCCGCGCUAACCGGAUCCGAGCGGAACUAACGCGGGAAACGCGGGGACUAACGAGCACGGCGACGGCGGCGACUUCGACCUCGCGGACGCGCUGGACGAGCCGGACCCCACCCCGAAGCCGAGCGGCGGACUCUACCCCAGGCUCCCCGAGGACCCGGAUGCGCACGGCGACCCCCGGCCACGCCCCCGGCCACGCCCCGAGCCGCAGCCGCGCCCACAGCCACGCCCCGA